rnacentral:rRNA from 1 species
CACGUAGGGGGCGAGCGUUGUCCGGAUUUAUUGGGCGUAAAGAGCUCGUAGGUGGUUCAGUAAGUCGAGUGUGAAACCUCCAGGCUCAACCUGGAGACGCCACCCGAUACUGCUGUGACUAGAGUCCAGUAGGGGAGCACGGAAUUCCUGGUGUAGCGGUGAAAUGCGUAGAUGUCGGAAGGAACAUCAGUGGCGAAAGCGGCUUCCUGGUCCAGCACCGACGUUCAGGCACGAAAGCGUGGGGAGCAAACAGG